UACAGGAGGGUGCGAGCGUUAAUCGGAAUUACUGGGCGUAAAGCGUGCGUAGACGGUCAAGUAAGUCGGGUGUGAAAGCCCCGGGCUCAACCUGGGAAUUGCAUUCGAGACUGCGUGGCUAGGGUGCGGAAGAGGGAAGCGGAAUUUCCGGUGUAGCGGUGGAAAUGCGUAGAUAUCGGAAGGAACACCAGUGGCGAAAGCGGCUCCUGGUCCAGCACCGACGUUCAGGCACGAAAGCGUGGGGAGCAAACAGGA
rnacentral:rRNA from 1 species